AAUAUAAUUGCUGGAUCAUAUGGUAAGAUUGUUUAGUUUUUUAAGAAACCAUCAAACUGUCUUCCAAAGUGACUGUACCAUUUGCAUUCCCACCAGCAGU
rnacentral:pre_miRNA from 1 species